rnacentral:lncRNA from 1 species
CAGAAGAACAGCUGAGGCGUGUUUUUCCCGCCGUUUCUAAUCAUGAAACGGAAGGCUCAAUGAUUGUGAAAGGUUUAACUUAAUUGCACGUUAUUGUUUGCAACAGUAUUGGGGGCGAGAGAAGAGCACGCGCUAAUGAGAGAGAGAGAGAGAGAGAGAGAGAGAGAGAGAGAGAGAGAGAGAGAGAGAGAGAGAGAGAGAGAGAGAGAGAGAGCUUUUCACACAUACGGUGCUGUAGAAAAAGUGCUAUAUUCCUGCCUUGCGCAAUAAUUUCAGGUCUGAGAGCUGAACCCCCAGCGGACGCAUUGAUCCUUUUACAGGUAUGCUGUAGUCUGUGGGACGUGAAUUGGAGAGCCUUCGACACACAAGACGCGACAGUGUCACAGCGGCUUAAUCCUCAUUACAGACUAAUCAAAGGGAAUUCCUGGAAAGUGCAGCACUCAGGAUGUCUACAGGUUAUGACUAUCCGGACCAGAUCACAUUUAAAAAAAGCGGGAAAGGGGCGGUGUGAGAUUGUUUUUCCUCAAUCAAGUUUGAGCAGAUAUUUUGGAUGUAACCAGACAAGCGCUAAACACCAAAAUGCUGUGGAUGAGGACAGAAUUGCUGUUUUUCUUUGUAUUCCCACUGAAUGCAGCGCAGAACUCUGAAUUACCCGCAGUAAUGGACAGUGACAUGUUCACCGAAUUUGCAUACCAAACCUCAUCCUUGAGUCUGAUCCUGUUGGUUCUAACGGUUGGACUGUCUGGCAGUGUUUACCUCUGUGUGCUGCGCUACAUCUGCACCGGCUGCUGCCAGCCUGUAGUCGUUGGACCUGAGGAUGAGAGCAUAUCAGGAGUGGUGUGACUGCUGCUUUCCUUUCGUUUCUGUGUGUCUUUACUGAUGUGCAGGUUAGCUUGUGUAAUACAGCAUGAAGCCAUUCUUUUUCCUUUCAAGCAAUUGAGCUGAAAGCGACAUUCCACGUGUGUUAGUCACUCUGGAUAAAAGCGUCCGCUCACUGUAAGAUUUACAGUUCUAGAGCUCGACUGUAUAUCAAAAGCAUUCAUUUACUCUCUAUGAAGUCAUUUAGCUGUAUGGAUGACGCAAAUGUUGAGUGAAUGAGAGGGUGGCAUGAAUAAAUAUAGCAAGCAUUGAAUGCUCAUUCAGUCUAGAGAAAUCCAUAUGACAGAAUCGACUGUACCACUGUAUUUUGAAGAGCUUUUUUAUUAACAUAUUUAAUAGUUUAUUG